rnacentral:lncRNA from 1 species
GCUUGUUGUAAGCAGUAUCGGCACAUAUCGGCUGGCUGGCGCAGGCUGGCUGAACUGCGCCUAAAGGUUGGUUGGGGCGACGGGGCAGAGGCGGGGCUGGCCAGCCCGCCCGGGUGCAGGGCCAGGGGUGCAGGGGCUUGCGGCAGCAGGCGCAGGUGCAGGGGCCAAUCUGCCCAUGACAGCCCACAUACUGCCGGGCAAGGCUACAUUUGUCGCAAUAGCAGUAUAGGCUAGUGUAAAACACCGUGCGCACCACGGUAUGGGUCCCCUUCAAAGUAGUUCGCGUCACUGUUCGCGUCUCAGCACUCGCGUCACGAUACGCGGCCAGACGCCCCCUGACGCAUCCUGACGCGCUCGGACGCGCUGAGACGCGCCGAGACGCGAGUUUCCCGUCGUUACAGUGACCUGCAUACCCAUCGCACUAUCUGUUGGCGCAGGACUUCAGGAGAGCUAGGACUGCCUCAGCUGCUGUUGAUGCUGUUGAUGCUGAUGCGAGGCAUGCGACUGUACACGAGGGCACCACUCAACCUGAGCGUGCAAGCACACAGACCGUGCCGAUGUUGCCGAGGCCCAGCCGGGGUAGGCAUGUAAUCAAAGGAAAGUGUGGAGAGCCCCUGCUGUAAUCGAAGGAAAGUGUGGAGAGCCCCUGAGGGGAGGGGGGAGG